AUCUGAACUGCGCGGAUACUGAAUUAAAUAAUUAAUAUAAGAAAAAAUUGACAAGAAAUGCGUGGAAAAUUUCACAAAAUAAAAAAUUCAAGCUCUAUUUUAUGUCUUUUAUAAUUUGUUUUGAUUAAUUCCUGUCCAAUGGCAGAAAUACGCGUUCUCAACAUUAACCAAAAUGCGGAAAUUUCCUGUGAAAUUCUGGCUGAAAAAUAUGGGGAGGAUAUUUCAAAGCGCCUUCAAAAACUUAUGUUACAAAUUAAGGGGAAAUUCAUGUGCGAUGAUGGGAAGUCUGUUGACUACAAUGGGAUACGAACUAGUGAAAUAUUUGCCGAAUAUGUUGAGGAAUCUUCGAGGCUGGUUCAUGUCGAUUUGGCUACACUUACAGAUCAGCAAAAAAUGGCAUUUUUCAUUAGUAU